rnacentral:rRNA from 1 species
UACGUAGGGGGCAAGCGUUGUCCGGAUUUAUUGGGCGUAAAGAGCGUGUAGGCGGUCAGGUAGGUCCGUUGUGAAAACUCGAGGCUCAACCUCGAGACGCCGAUGGAAACCAUCUGACUAGAGUCCGGAAGAGGAGAGUGGAAUUCCUGGUGUAGCGGUGAAAUGCGUAGAUAUCUGGAGGAACACCGGUGGCGAAGGCGGCAUCCUGGACCGGCAUUGACGCUGAACAGCGAAAGCCAGGGGAGCAAACGGG